rnacentral:rRNA from 1 species
UACGGGGGGGGCAAGCGUUGUUCGGAAUUACUGGGCGUAAAGGGCUUGUAGGUGGCCAACUAAGUCAGACGUGAAAUCCCUCGGCUUAACCGGGGAACUGCGUCUGAUACUGGAUGGCUUGAGUGUGGGAGAGGGAUGCGGAAUUCCAGGUGUAGCGGUGAAAUGCGUAGAUAUCUGGAGGAACACCAGUAGCGAAGGCGGCACUCUGGGCCGGUACUGACGCUGAGGAGCGAAAGCGUGGGGAGCGAACAGG